GCGUGGAAAUGAUGAUUUUUCUCUUUAGUCGGAUACCCCUUCACUCUAAAUCAUGAGUGAGAACCACCAUCUGACACGC
ensembl:snoRNA small nucleolar RNA SNORD101